UGUGGUUCAGUGGUAGAAUGCUUGCCUACCAUGCAUGAAGCCCUGGGUUCGAUUCCCCAGCA
rnacentral:tRNA from 1 species